AUAACACUAGAGAUUUAGCACAGAUG
rnacentral:misc_RNA from 1 species